AAGUCGUAACAAGGUUUCCGUAGGUGAACCUGCGGAAGGAUCAUUAAUACGUUUCUAAACGAACGUUUUAAACUCCAAAAUUUUAAUAGUGGAAAUAUAACUUCCGGAUGCAUAUGUAGGGAGGGGAAGAUUAGACCUUAAAAAGUCUGGUUUUCUCCUUUUUGAAAAGGAAACUUCAUGCACUUUAUUGUGUGUGACACUUCAGAGUAGAGCAGUGAGGUGAAAACUUCGGUUUUGGUUUCUGAAAUACAUCUGUAUCCGGUUAUUUUCUGUUCUACAACCCCUUUUAUAAAACAAUAAACCCCAUGUACAACAACUUGAACUGAACAAAUUUUGUUUUCUCCUUUGUGAGGAAAUGAAGUAAAUCUGAACUUAAGAACAACUCUUAACAACGGAUAUCUUGGUUCUC
rnacentral:misc_RNA from 1 species